UGUGUCCAUCCCCCCUGGGAUCGACCAGAUCAGGUGUUGACGUGGGCGAGAGGGUCUGUUUGUGUGUUUCCACAGGACCAGACGGAACCUCUUUGGGUGCUGGAGAGAUUGGUGAGACACUGCAAGAAUGAGGCUCCUGAUCCAGUUGCCCCUGUGGAUGUGGUGGAUGAUCCCACAAGCACAAAGGAUGGAGCCGAGAUGAGAGAUCCUUUCGGUAUUCCAGAAGCCGAUACCAGCUCGACAUGACAUUCAAAUUUUUCCACGCUUUUUGAUCCCUGAAUUCCCCUUAAAGAGAUAGCCCCUCUGGCUAUCUAUCCCUUGCUUCAGGGAAGAUGAGCGGGGGUGAGAGCCCUGGGAUGUAUGCUUGUUAUAGUGUGUGUGUGUGUGUGUUGUGCUUGGCACAUGUGUUAGGUGCAGAGUGUGCGACCCGCACUUUCGCCAUGGUAGCGUAGGCUUUUGCUGCAGUGGAGGCAGGACAAUCUCUUCAGAUUCGGUUUGCCGCUCUAAAAGAAAUAAUGCUGCUUUAUGCCAUGGGUUGUGAGGCUAAGCACUGCACAGAGGAUAGCUUGCUGUUGGCAUCCUGUGGAAGAU
rnacentral:lncRNA from 1 species